CCUACGGGAGGCAGCAGUGGGGAAUAUUGCACAAUGGGCGAAAGCCUGAUGCAGCGACGCCGCGUGAGGGAUGACGGCCUUCGGGUUGUAAACCUCUUUCAGCAGGGAAGAAGCGAAAGUGACGGUACCUGCAGAAGAAGCGCCGGCUAACUACGUGCCAGCAGCCGCGGUAAUACGUAGGGCGCAAGCGUUGUCCGGAAUUAUUGGGCGUAAAGAGCUCGUAGGCGGCUUGUCACGUCGGGUGUGAAAGCCCGGGGCUUAACCCCGGGUCUGCAUUCGAUACGGGCUAGCUAGAGUGUGGUAGGGGAGAUCGGAAUUCCUGGUGUAGCGGUGAAAUGCGCAGAUAUCAGGAGGAACACCGGUGGCGAAGGCGGAUCUCUGGGCCAUUACUGACGCUGAGGAGCGAAAGCGUGGGGAGCGAACAGGAUUAGAUACCCUGGUAGUCCACGCCGUAAACGGUGGGAACUAGGUGUUGGCGACAUUCCACGUCGUCGGUGCCGCAGCUAACGCAUUAAGUUCCCCGCCUGGGGNGGACGCGCGAGACGAAACGACGAAGAAGUAAGUAGCGUUGAGAGUUGCGACGGACGACGACGAGGGAGGAGG
rnacentral:rRNA from 1 species